AAUAGGAUGGCUGAGAUCAAGCAGAAGACUGUAAAUCUUCCAACGAAAAUCAAUAUUUUCUCCUAUUA
rnacentral:tRNA from 1 species